GGGGGCGUAGCUCAGUUGGGAGAGCGCUUGAAUGGCAUUCAAGAGGUCAGCGGUUCGAUCCCGCUCGCCUCCA
rnacentral:tRNA from 2 species